GUAGGUGGCAAGCGUUGUCCGGGAAUUAUUGGGCGUAAAGCGCGCGCAGGCGGUCCUUUAAGUCUGAUGUGAAAGCCCACGGGCUCAACCGUGGAGGGUCAUUGGAAACUGGGGGACUUGAGUACAGAAGAGGAAAGCGGAAUUCCACGUGUAGCGGUGAAAUGCGUAGAGAUGUGGAGGAACACCAGUGGCGAAGGCGGCUUUCUGGUCUGUAACUGACGCUGAGGCGCGAAAGCGUGGGGAGCAAACAGGAUUAGAUACCCUGGUAGUCCACGCCGUAAACGAUGAGUGCUAAGUGUUAGGGGGUUUCCGCCCCUUAGUGCUGCAGCUAACGCAUUAAGCACUCCGCCUGGGGAGUACGGCCGCAAAGGCUG
rnacentral:rRNA from 1 species